ACACCCACUAGUUAUGGAGAUAAACAUUACUCUGCAGUGUGCUGAAGUUUAACUCUGUCUUGGAACAGAACAGCACUUAGCAAAGAAAUCCUGUGGAAAAUCACAAGGAUGGAAUGCUCGGAGUUCUUGAAGGAUUUUUCUGGUACUUUUAUAUUGGCUGUAAUACAGAAUGAAAGGAAGACAUUUGAAAAUGAAUGGUUUCAAGUAGGCUUUCUUGACAAUUCGUCUGGCACCAUUUGCUCGGUGUGUGCAGCAAUCCUAAUCCGGUCAAAAGGACCCAGAAAUCACAGUAUGACCAUCUCCAGCCUUGUCGAUAGACUUGCCUUCCUGAUACAACUGUUAGACAAGAUUCAAGGUCACAUGUAUUUGUGAUUCCUAUGCUAUUUUAUGUAACUGCACUGUUAUAUAUGGUUAAUAAAAU
rnacentral:lncRNA from 1 species